GACCGCAUGGCGCAAGGGUAGCGCGUUCGACUCCAGAUCGGAAGGUUGGGCGUUCGAUCCGCUCAGUGGUCU
rnacentral:tRNA from 1 species